rnacentral:rRNA from 1 species
UACGAAGGGGGCUAGCGUUGCUCGGAAUCACUGGGCGUAAAGCGCACGUAGGCGGAUUGCUAAGUCAGGGGUGAAAUCCUGGAGCUCAACUCCAGAACUGCCUUCGAUACUGGCGAUCUUGAGUCCGGAAGAGGUGAGUGGAACUCCUAGUGUAGAGGUGGAAUUCGUAGAUAUUAGGAAGAACACCAGUGGCGAAGGCGGCUCACUGGUCCGGUACUGACGCUGAGGUGCGAAAGCGUGGGGAGCAAACAGG